GAUGAACGCUGGCGGCGUGCCUAACACAUGCAAGUCGAGCGAAAAGACGCGGCGCUUGCUCCUCUGUCGUUUGCGGCGCACGUGUGUGUAACACGUGUAUCACCCCCCUAUCAGUCGGGGAUAACUUCGGAAAACCGGCUCUAAUCCCGUAUAACCUCUUGCACCACUGGGGUCAAUAGUAAAUGACGGUGUUUCUGUAACUACUAGCUGGAUCCCGGCCGCAUUGGCUGGUUGGUAGGGUAACAGCUUACCAAGGCAACGAGGCGUAGCCGAACUGACGGGGGGGUAGCCGACACUGGAGGUGAGCCGCGGUCCAGACGCCUACGAGAGGCAGCAGUAGGCAAUCGUCGGCAAUGGGCGAAAGCCUGACGGAGCAACGCGAAGUGAGUGAAGAAGGUCUCCGGUGCGUAAAGCUCGGUUUUGAGGGAAGAACAGAUGUGGAAGGAGCUGAGCACGGAGUGACGGUACCUGAUCAGGAAGCCACGGCUAACUACGUG
rnacentral:rRNA from 1 species